CACAACCGAGUCAACCAGUGCAGGAUUUUCUAGGUAGACUUUGGGUAGACCAAUCUACUUGGAAUUAGAGCUCCCAGUUGGGCUGGAGCUAUGUAUUUGAAAUUUCAAAGAGUUACAGGCAAGGGAGCGUCAGAACAGUUUUCAGGCCAAUGGUAGGUGAUGUUGAAAUGACAAUCAGAGUGGACUAAUAGAUAAAGGAGAGACUGGUGUUGAGAGAUGUGAAGAGGGCUCUGUAGAAAUCCAGGCUGGGGAUGAUGAGGUUCUAGACCAGACCAACGGAAAUGGAGAAUCACAAACAAGUAGAUGAUUUUAACUGUGGGGAAUGUGACAUGCUGGCUCUUUGGUACAGAAGAUAAGAACACAAGAGAUAAAGGGUACAAGUGGAGAUUGUCAUCAUGCCUGAUAAUUGGGGGUCAUGAAAGCCCAGAAGAUUCAGAGCUGCUCCUUGUCAGAAUAAGCGGGGAAGCUUCCUGCUCAGGAAUGAGGAUUCCUGAAAUCAAUUAUUUUAAACUCAAUUUCACUAACGAGAGACAUGAAGUUAACAACUAAGAUCAACUUGCCAGCUUCUGUGUCCAGGCCUCCCUGCAGGAGGCAGAAAACCAGCAGGAUAAAUUAAUAGGCAGAACUCAAAACAAACAAAUAAACGAAAGCACUGUGGAAAUUCA
rnacentral:lncRNA from 1 species